UACGUAGGGUGCAAGCGUUAAUCGGAAUUACUGGGCGUAAAGCGUGCGCAGGCGGUUGUGGAAGGCAGAUGUGAAAUCCCCGGGCUCAACCUGGGAACUGCAUUUGUGACUGCACAGCUGGAGUGCGGCAGAGGGGGAUGGAAUUCCGCGUGUAGCAGUGAAAUGCGUAGAUAUGCGGAGGAACACCGAUGGCGAAGGCAAUCCCCUGGGCCUGCACUGACGCUCAUGCACGAAAGCGUGGGGAGCAAACAGG
rnacentral:rRNA from 1 species